UGGGGAAUUUUGGACAAUGGGGGAAACCCUGAUCCAGCCAUCUCGCGUGUGCGAUGAAGGCCUUCGGGUUGUAAAGCACUUUUGUCAGGAAAGAAACGUCAUGGGUUAAUACCCCGUGAAACUGACGGUACCUGCAGAAUAAGCACCGGCUAACUACGUGCCAGCAGCCGCGGUAAUACGUAGGGUGCAAGCGUUAAUCGGAAUUACUGGGCGUAAAGCGUGCGCAGGCGGUUCGGAAAGAAAGAUGUGAAAUCCCAGAGCUCAAAUUUGGAACUGCAUUUUUAACUGCCGGGCUAGAGUGUGUCAGAGAGAGGUGGAAUUCCGCGUGUAGCAGUGAAAUGCGUAGAUAUGCGGAGGAACACCGAUGGCGAAGGCAGCCUCCUGGGAUAACACUGACGAUCAUGCACGAAGGCGUGGGGAGCAAACAGG
rnacentral:rRNA from 1 species